rnacentral:rRNA from 1 species
GUGUAAUAGUUUAUUAGUGUUUUUGUUAUUUUAGGUAAAAUUUUAAUGAGAAUUAGGAGAGAGAUUAUGCUUUUGAGAUUUGAGAAAUGAAUUAGAUUAGUACCUAAUUAGUCAAAAUUUAAAAUUUCAGGAGUAAAGUGUUGUUUAAACUGAAAGAAUAUUGGCAGAUUUUCUAAAUUAUCUUUGGAGGUUGAGCGGUAAUUGAGAGCCCUCAUUGGUAACUUUUUUAUUGAGCUCAUGUAUGAUCGUUUAUUUUUUUCUUAUGGGAAAAAAUAGUAGAAUUUAUAAAUUUUUAAAAUAGAUAUAUAUUUGGUUUAUGUAUUAAGUUGUGUUUGACCUACAGUGUGUAAUUUUUUGGAUUACUGGCGUAGCGUCGGUAUGAAAGUGUAAAAGACAGUAAAAGAAUCUUGAUGUUUUUUUGAAGAGUAUUUAGAAGUGGUA